GACGAACGCUGGCGGCGUGCUUAACACAUGCAAGUCGAACGGAAAGGCCCUGCUUUUGUGGGGUGCUCGAGUGGCGAACGGGUGAGUAACACGUGAGUAACCUGCCCUUGACUUUGGGAUAACUUCAGGAAACUGGGGCUAAUACCGGAUAGGAGCUCCUGCUGCAUGGUGGGGGUUGGAAAGUUUCGGCGGUUGGGGAUGGACUCGCGGCUUAUCAGCUUGUUGGUGGGGUAGUGGCUUACCAAGGCUUUGACGGAUAGCCGGCCUGAGAGGGUGACCGGCCACAUUGAGACUGAGAUACGGCCCAGACUCCUACGGGAGGCAACAGUGGGGAAUAUUGCACAAUGGGCGGAAGCCUGAUGCAGCAACGCCGCGUGCGGGAUGACGGCCUUCGGGUUGUAAACCGCUUUCGCCUGUGACGAAGCGUGAGUGACGGUAAUGGGUAAAGAAGCACCGGCUAACUACGUG
rnacentral:rRNA from 1 species